CAAUAGCGUAUAUUAAAGUUGUUGCAGUUAAAAAGCUCGUAGUUGAAUUUCUGUCAGGAGUGACCGGGCCUUUGGAUGAACUUCCAUUGUUUUUUGCUCUGUUCGUCAUCUCUAGACAUCCUGAAAUAUUUUUUAAAAAUAUUUCUCUUUUACUGUUAGCAAAAUAGAGUGUUCCAAGCAAAGCGUAGUUUUGAAUACAUUAGAAUGGAAUAAUAAGAUAGGACUUUGGUGCUAUUUUGUUGGUUUGCACACCAAGGUAAUGAUUAAUAGGGACAGUUGGGGGUAUUCGUAUUUAAUUGUCAGAGGUGAAAUUCUUGGAUUUAUGAAAGACGAACUACUGCGAAAGCAUUUACCAAGGAUGUUUUCAUUAA
rnacentral:rRNA from 1 species